GUUUAACAGAUCAACUGUUCAGGUAAACCAGAGCGUGUAUGUUACAGAACUUUGCUAAAACUGGCG